CUUGACCUCAAAUCGAGUAGGACCACCCGCUGAACUUAAGCAUAUCAAUAAGCGGAGGAAAAGAAACUAACAAGGAUUCCCCUAGUAACGGCGAGUGAAGAGGGAAGAGCUCAAAUUUUGAAUCUGGCGUCUCUGGCGUCCGAAUUGUAAUCUAGAGAAGUGUUUUCCGUGACGGACCGUGCAUAAGUCUCCUGGAAUGGAGCGUCAUAGAGGGUGAGAAUCCCGUACAUGGCAUGGACUCCCGUUGCUCUGUGAUACACUCUCGACGAGUCGAGUUGUUUGGGAAUGCAGCUCUAAAUGGGUGGUAAAUGCCAUCUAAAGCUAAAUAUUGGCGAGAGACCGAUAGCGAACAAGUACCGUGAGGGAAAGAUGAAAAGCACUUUGGAAAGAGAGUGAAACAGUACGUGAAAUUGUUGAAAGGGAAACUCUGAAGUMMGUCGCGCCGUUCAGGAUUCAGCCUGCUUCUGCUCGGUUUACUUCCUGUUGGGUGGGUCAACAUCAGUUUCGAUCGGAGGAGAAAGGCUUGGGGAAGGUAGCAGCAUUCGUGCUGUGUUAUAGCCCCUUGUUGUAUACUUCGAUUGGGACUGAGGACUGCAGCACGCCUUUGGCCGGGGUUCGCCCACGUACGUGCUUAGGAUGUUGGCAUAAUGGCUUUAAGUGACCCGUCUUGAAACACGGACC
rnacentral:rRNA from 1 species